GGACUACUAGGGUUUCUAAUCCUGUUCGCUACCCACGCUUUCGCUUCUCAGCGUCAGUUACUGCCCAGAGACCCGCCUUCGCCACCGGUGUUCCUCCUGAUAUCUGCGCAUUUCACCGCUACACCAGGAAUUCCAGUCUCCCCUGCAGUACUCUAGUCUGCCCGUAUCGACUGCAAGCCCACGGUUGAGCCGUGAGUUUUCACAAUCGACGCGACAGACCGCCUACAAGCUCUUUACGCCCAGUAAUUCCGGACAACGCUCGCACCCUACGUAUUACCGCGGCGGCUGGCAC
rnacentral:rRNA from 1 species